rfam:Haemonchus contortus, ISE/inbred ISE, WGS project CAVP01000000 data, contig: Hcontortus_37350
GGGCUAAACUUGAAGUAGAGUAGUUUGGUAGGGUCAGCCGAUCCUAUUGAUCUACUCUACUUCCGAUUUGGGCCC